UACGUAGGGGGCUAGCGUUGUCCGGAAUCAUUGGGCGUAAAGAGCGUGUAGGCGGUCCGGUAAGUCCGCUGUGAAAGUCGGGGGCUCAACCCUGGGAUGCCGGUGGAUACUGUCGGACUAGAGUACGGAAGAGGCGAGUGGAAUUCCCGGUGUAGCGGUGAAAUGCGCAGAUAUCGGGAGGAACACCAAUUGCGAAGGCAGCUCGCUGGGACGUCACUGACGCUGAGACGCGAAAGCGUGGGGAGCAAACAGG
rnacentral:rRNA from 1 species